GCGCCAUUUGAGGAAACCCAAACCAAAUACAGCUCUUUAAUUGGGGUUGGAGUGUCUGGGAAAAGCCACCCGGCUGGAGUGCAGUAGCAUGAUCAUAGUUCACUGCAGCCUUGAACUCCGGGACUCAAGUGAUCCUCCCAUCUCAGCCUCCCAAGCAGCUAAGACUACAGAAUCUAGGCUGCAGGAGCAGAUCUGAAAAGGACAUGCCAUUCUUUUGCAACAGAAAAAUACCAGACUAAGGCACUCGAGAUUUCAAAACUUCUGAUUGAAUGUGGUAUAUUUCAUGUUUACUCACUGCCCAUUAGCCAAAGCAAGUCACAUGGCCAAGCCUAAUAUCAAAGGGGUUGGGACACAAGCUCCCCCUAUAAGAUGGUGCUUUAUGUCACAUGGCAACAGAGAGGGUAGAGAAUAACUGAAAAUGAUGGCACUAUGUACUACAGUAAC